UACGUAGGGUGCGAGCGUUAAUCGGAAUUACUGGGCGUAAAGCGUGCGUAGGCGGUUCGUUAAGUCUGUUGUGAAAGCCCCGGGCUCAACCUGGGAAUGGCAAUGGAUACUGGCGAGCUAGAGUGUGUCAGAGGAUGGUGGAAUUCCCGGUGUAGCGGUGAAAUGCGUAGAGAUCGGGAGGAACAUCAGUCGCGAAGGCGGCCAUCUGGGACAACACUGACGCUGAGGCACGAAAGCGUGGGGAGCAAACAGG
rnacentral:rRNA from 1 species